rnacentral:piRNA from 1 species
AGAGGAACAAUUCUGAGUCUUAGACUAAUU